rnacentral:rRNA from 1 species
UAAUUAAGAAUAUAGGAAUAAAAGUCUGGAUAUUGAGUUUGAUAAUUUGUUAAUGAAUUAAUGUUUAUUCCUUAAUGAAAAUAUUUUAUUUUAUUGUGUUUAAUUUAUAAUCAGUCUCAGAUUGCAUAGAUUUAUUUUUUUUUAAUCAGGGUUCCAGAUCACACGGCUAUUCCCGUAAUCAAGCUCAUAAAUCGUAUAUACAAUAUGCUGGCUCAUAAGUAUUAAGAAAAAUACAUAUUUACUAGACUAAGUGGGUGAAAACUAGGGGUCUAUUGGGAUAUUAUAUUGUUUGUUUUUAUGGAAGUCUAGCCUCGUUCAAAAAGGAAACGGUGUCACAACCGGUUACAAAAAAGGUUAAUAAAACAUGUUAAAAGUAUGUCAAAUCGGAUGAGAUGUGGCGGGUCUUACUGUUCCGAAACGACGGGGGUACGGGGAAUUACAAACCAGACCUCGGGUUGUCAACCAUCAUUCUUGUGUGUCGUUUGCCUGUUUGUAACUAUCUAUGUAAUUAUACGUUAGAAUAAGUGGUCAUAUGGGUUCUUAUUAAGAAUAUUUAAGUUUUUAACUUAAUUAUAGUUAAUUUUUUCUACCAUAAGGUGCGGGCUAAUAAGUCCUCCAAAAAAAAUAAUGUAUGGUUUUCCUUGUCCCACUGUCCACAAUUUGGAGAUUAGUGAAUAUCUUUUGCUCUCUUGAGUUUUAGGGACUAAGAGAGAUCUAGAGUGAAUUAAACCUAGUGAAAGUAGUCGUAAGUAAUAGGCUGUCUAAAGGCGCCUAUGAAAAUAUUAAUUGACAGAGACAGUACAAAUCGUCCAUCACACGCACAUAGGGUGGGUUAAGUCGUAGUAAGGUAAGGGUAGGUGAACCUCCUCUUAGAUUUUAUUUAGUAGUUUAAAUUUAACUUUAAUUA